CAUUAUCGUACAAAAUGUGAGGGGCAUGUGAGGGCUGUCGCCGACUCAAAGUCGUGCACGCCCGAGCGUGUCCUCUCACAUAAUAAUCCAUCUCACCCUUUGUGCAUCGCCGCGUGGGCACCCUUCGGGAUCAUCUCGGAGGGGGCUCGCGUUUUCACACAAACCCCCCUUUUAAAAGUGUAGAAUGACCUCAUUUAUGCGCUAACCCGCAAUCAAUACAACUUUCAACAACGGAUCUCUUGGCUCUCGCAUCGAUGAAGAACGCAGCGAAAUGCGAUACGUAAUGUGAAUUGCAGAAUUCAGUGAAUCAUCGAAUCUUUGAACGCACCUUGCGCCCCUUGGUAUUCCGAGGGGCACACCCGUUUGAGUGUCGUGAAAACCUCAACCUCUUUGGUUUCUUCUGGAGACCAAAGCAGGCUUGGACUUUGGAGGCCUUUGCUGGCACCUCUCUCUUUUGAAGGUCAGCUCCUCUUAAACGAAUUAGCAGGGUCCUCUUUGCCGAUCCUCGACGUGUGAUAAGAUGUUUCCAUGUCUUGGUUUCUGGCUCUGUCACUUCUGGGACCCGCUUCUAACCGUCUUGACCUUGCGUCGAGACAAGUGCUCGAGCAUGUCUCCCUUCUUGGGAAGCUCCCUCGACCCCACGAACCCUUG
rnacentral:rRNA from 1 species